GUGCUCGCUUCAGCAGCACAUAUACUAAAAUUAGAACAAUACAGAGAAGAUUAGCACGGCCCCUGCACAAGGAUGACAUGCAAAUUCAUGAAACAUUCCAUAUUUUA
ensembl:snRNA U6 U6 spliceosomal RNA